rfam:TPA: Bos taurus chromosome 13, whole genome shotgun sequence.
UCCUUGGUGGCUGCAUGGUAAAGAAUCUGCCUGCCGAUGCAGGAGACACGGGUUCAAUCCCUGUUCUGGGAA